rnacentral:rRNA from 1 species
GACGAACGCUGGCGGCGUGCCUAACACAUGCAAGUCGAACGGAGUCGGCCCCGCAAGGGACUGACUUAGUGGCGAACGGGUGAGUAACGCGUGAGCAACCUGCCUUUCAGUGGGGGACAACAGUUGGAAACGACUGCUAAUACCGCAUAAUGCAUUUUGACCGCAUGAUCGAGAUGCCAAAGAUUUAUUGCUGAAAGAUGGGCUCGCGUCUGAUUAGAUAGUUGGUGAGGUAACGGCCCACCAAGUCGACGAUCAGUAGCCGGACUGAGAGGUUGAACGGCCACAUUGGGACUGAGAUACGGCCCAGACUCCUACGGGAGGCGGCAGGGGGGAAUAUUGGGCAAUGGGGGAAACCCUGACCCAGCAACGCCGCGUGAAGGAAGAAGGCUUUCGGGUUGUAAACUUCUUUUACCAGGGACGAAGAAAGUGACGGUACCUGGAGAAAAAGCCACGGCUAACUACGUG